UUAACAGUAUGUUGCGUCAUAAAGUGCAGUGUUGUUUCUAAUAAAAAUAUGACUUUGUCAAAUUUAGUGUUGGUUCCCACUGGUCCUGUGAGUCGAUCAUCCGCUCACUGUGUUUGUGUUCUAGGUGUCCUGCUCUUCCUGUUCUCCGGUGUCCAGUGUGACAGAUCAGGGCUGUGGACCUGGUGGUGGCGCUGAACAAGCAUCUCCUGAGUGAUGAGCUCCUGCUUGCUCUUUCAUCUGAACGAUGCCGUCAUCACCUUGCAGCAGCAAAAGGAUCAGCAAGUGGAAACCCCAGUCAGACACGCCACUACACCAUGGAGCAGGUCCACAGACGGAGACACAUUGCUUGCCAUCAGCAUUCUCUGAAAAGUAUAUGAUGGUGGAGCUGACACAAUUUGAUGUAAUGCCAAGGUGUUUUAGCUUCAUUCAGGUUGUGAAAGAAGGAUCUGGAUUUGCCAUCACUCACUGAACCUUCCCAACUUUGUAUUCAGCACGUGGAUCUGCCAUCUGCUGGGUGCUCCUGGUUAAAGCAUCACACUUCGCCCUUUA